CAGUCGCCACGGUAAUACGGAGGGUGCAAGCGUUAAUCGGAAUUACUGGGCGUAAAGCGCACGCAGGCGGUCUGUCAAGUCAGAUGUGAAAUCCCCGGGCUUAACCUGGGAACUGCAUUUGAAACUGGCAGGCUAGAGUCUUGUAGAGGGGGGUAGAAUUCCAGGUGUAGCGGUGAAAUGCGUAGAGAUCUGGAGGAAUACCGAUGGCGAAGGCAGCCAUCUGGCCUAAUACUGACGCUGAGGUACGAAAGCAUGGGGAGCAAACAGGAUUAGAUACCCGUGUAGUCCCUGUCUCUUAUAA
rnacentral:rRNA from 1 species